rnacentral:rRNA from 1 species
ACGCUCGACACCUAGAGGCAGCAGUGGGGAAUAUUGCACAAUGGGGGGAAACCCUGAUGCAGCGACGCCGCGUGAGUGAAGAAGUAAUUCGUUAUGUAAAGCUCUAUCAGCAGGGAAGAAAGUGACGGUACCUGAGUAAGAAGCCCCGGCUAACUACGUGCUAGCAGCCGCGGUAAUCUGAGGCGGGCUGGCAAGGC